ensembl:lncRNA
GAUACAGAGAGGGUUAGAGAGGUUCUCCAUAGAUACAGAGGGUUAGAGAGGUUCUCCAUAGAUACAGAGGGUUAGAGAGGUUCUCCAUAGAUAGAGGGUUAGAGGUUCUCCAUAGAUACAGAGGGUUAGAGGUUCUCCAUAGGAUACAGAGGGUUAGAGAGGUUCUCCAUAGAUACAGAGGGUUAGAGAGGUUCUCCAUAGGAUACAGAGGGUUAGAGGUUCUCCAUAGAUACAGAGGGUUAGAGAGGUUCUCCAUAGAUACAGAGGGUUAGAGAGGUUCUCCAUAGGAUACAGAGGGUUAGAGAGGUUCUCCAUAGAUACAGAGGGUUAGAGAGGUUCUCCAUAGAUACAGAGGGUUAGAGAGGUUCUCCAUAGAUACAGAGGGUUAGAGGUUCUCCAUAGGAUACAGAGGGUGAGAG